rnacentral:rRNA from 1 species
GACGAACGCUGGCGGCGUGCCUAAUACAUGCAAGUUGAGCGCUGAAGGUUGGUACUUGUACCAACUGGAUGAGCAGCGAACGGGUGAGUAACGCGUGGGGAAUCUGCCUUUGAGCGGGGGACAACAUUUGGAAACGAAUGCUAAUACCGCAUAAAAACUUUAAACACAAGUUUUAAGUUUGAAAGAUGCAAUUGCAUCACUCAAAGAUGAUCCCGCGUUGUAUUAGCUAGUUGGUGAGGUAAAGGCUCACCAAGGCGAUGAUACAUAGCCGACCUGAGAGGGUGAUCGGCCACAUUGGGACUGAGACACGGCCCAAACGCCUACGGGAGGCAGCAGUAGGGAAUCUUCGGCAAGGGACGAAAGUCUGACCGAGCAACGCCGCGUGAGUGAAGAAGGUUUUCGGAUCGUAAAACUCUGUUGGUAGAGAAGAACGUUGGUGAGAGUGGAAAGCUCAGCAAGUGACGGUAACUACCCAGAAAGGGACGGCUAACUACGUG